CCCCUAGAUGUUCUGGGCCGCACGCGCGCUACACUGAACAGUUCAACAAGUCUUAACCUUGGCCGAUAGGUCUGGGUAAUCUUUGAACGCUGUUCGUGAUUGGGAUAGACCUUUGCAAUUAUGGGUCUUCAACGAGGACUUCCUAGUAAACGCAAGUCAUCAGCUUGCAUUGAUUACGUCCCUGCCCUUUGUACACACCGCCCGUCGCACCUACCGAUUGAAUGGUCCGGUGAAAUCUCGGGACGGCGGCUUGGUCGCUUGCGUCCGACUGCUGAAACUUGAUUAAACCAUAUCAUUUAGAGGAAGGUGAAGUCGUAACA
rnacentral:rRNA from 1 species